AUUGAACGCUGGCGGCAGGCCUAACACAUGCAAGUCGAGCGGUAGCACAGAGAGCUUGCUCUCGGGUGGCGAGCGGCGGACGGGUGAGUAAUGUCUGGGAAACUGCCUGAUGGAGGGGGAUAACUACUGGAAACGGUAGCUAAUACCGCAUAACGUCGCAAGACCAAAGAGGGGGACCUUCGGGCCUCGUGCCAUCAGAUGUGCCCAGAUGGGAUUAGCUAGUAGGUGGGGUAACGGCUCACCUAGGCGACGAUCCCUAGCUGGUCUGAGAGGAUGACCAGCCACACUGGAACUGAGACACGGUCCAGACUCCUACGGGAGGCAGCAGUGGGGAAUAUUGCACAAUGGGCGCAAGCCUGAUGCAGCCAUGCCGCGUGUAUGAAGAAGGCCUUCGGGUUGUAAAGUACUUUCAGCGAGGAGGAAGGCAUUGUGGUUAAUAACCACAGUGAUUGACGUUACUCGCAGAAGAAGCACCGGCUAACUCCGUGCCAGCCGCCGCGGUAAGAC
rnacentral:rRNA from 1 species